GCUCCGGUGGCUUCGUGGUUAGAGCGUCCGCCUCGGAUGCCGAAGGUCGUUGGUUCGUUCUCCGGGUUACUGGAUAUUAAGCA